rnacentral:rRNA from 1 species
AGCAGCCUACGGGGGGCAGCAGUGGGGGAUAUUGGGCAAUGGGCGCAAGCCUGACCCAGCAACGCCGCGUGAACGAAGAAGGCUUUCGGGUUGUAAACUUCUUUUCUCAGGGACGAAGAAAGUGACGGUACCUGAGGAAUAAGCCACGGCUAACUACGUGCCAGCAGCCGCGGUAAUACGUAGGUGGCAAGCGUUAUCCGGAUUUAUUGGGUGUAACGGGCGUGUAGGCGGGAACGCAAGUCAGAUGU